AGAGGCGAAGAAGAAAAUUGUGACGGAGGGGAGCAGAAGCUUCUGAACAAACAAACAGCAAACGGCCUCUUAUGAAACAGUUAACGGCGUGUCGAACGUUAAUGUUUCUGUCAGGACGUUUAGCAGCCGCUCAUCAUUCUUCCUCCCUCUCUCUCUCUCUAAAGCUCCAGUCUUGAAGAACUCCAUCGUUCCUUUUCUCUCUCCACGCCUUUUCUCUCUCUAGAAAUUUAUUCACCCACUCUCUCUCGAGACUGUGUCGUUGCAUUGCGAAAUUUCCUACACAGACACUGCCGAAAUCUUGAAAAAACAGCUCACCCCACUACUACUUACUGAGGCCGAGGACCACUUACCAUCAAAGCUUUUAUUUUUAUUUUUUAUUUUUUUAUAUUUUUUCUCACCUCCAUGGACCACCGCCGUCCACCGCCAACAUUUCCGGGCUGAAAAUCACUUGCCCAGAUUGCUACCGUGCGUUAAUUAUUGAUUUUGUUGGAGUUUUUUUUUUUUUUUGGGAGUUAUAUAUGGCGGAGGCGAAUAGCAACACGGCGGCGCUGGUGGAGGCGGGGACCGGCGGCGGCGGCGGGUUGACGGAGGAGAUGGCGGCGAAGGCGGUGCUGAAGAGAUACGAGGGAUUGGUGAUGGUACGGACGAAAGCGGUGAAGGGGAAAGGGGCGUGGUACUGGGCUCACUUUGAGCCCAUGCUGGUCCACAAUUCUGAUACGGGGUUGCCCAAAGCUGUUAAGCUCCGGUGUUCAUUAUGCGACGCCGUGUUCUCGGCGUCCAACCCUUCCAGAACCGCCUCCGAGCAUCUAAAGAGAGGAACUUGCCCCAAUUUCAACACCCUCGUCAAACCCAUUUCGUCUCUGCCGCCGCCGUCGCCGCCCGUCAGCGUGACGUCGCCCACGGUUUCGUCGCCCCACCAACAGAAUCACCGGAAGCGGAACUCUCCCGGCGGUGGCCGGGCCGAUAGUGGCAGCCCGGCUUCUACUGCGCCAUAUCAAGUCACCCCGCUUGCUAUUGUUGAUCCAUCGAGAUUCGCCGUGGAGUUAGCUUACCCCCCGGUGGUGUCAAUGGCCACCGCUAUUGUUACCACCGGUGGUGGCGGUGCCGCCGCCUCCGGCGGCGGCGGCGGCAUGUAUGGGCAGCAGCAUAUGGUGUUGUCAGGUGGAAAGGAGGAUUUGGGAGCUCUGGCCAAGUUAGAAGAUAGUGUGAAGAAGCUAAAGAGUCCGAAAUCAUCGCCGGGACCAACUUUGAGCAAGUCCCAGAUUGAUUCAUCAUUCGAUUAUCUCGCAGAUUGGGUGUAUGAAUGUUGUGGGUCGGUCUCCUUUUCCAGUCUUGACCACCCAAAAUUCAGGGCAUUUCUCAACCAAGUUGGAUUGCCCCCAAUUUCAAGAAAAGAGUUAGCAGGUCCCAGGUUAGAUGCCAAGUACGAGGAAGCCAAGGUUGAGUCCGAGGCGAAAAUCCGAGACGCCAUGUUCUUCCAGGUUGCAGCUGAUGGUUGGAUGGCAAAGAAGCACGGGCAUGUUGGGGAAGAGAAUCUAGUGAGUUUAUAUGUGAAUCUUCCCAAUGGAACCAGUGUGUUUAGGAGGACAGUUUUCACUAGUGGAUUUGUGCCUUCUAAGUAUGCAGAGGAUGUUUUAUGGGACACCAUCACAGACAUUUGUGGCAACACUGUUCAACAAUGUGUAGGCAUAGUUGCAGACAAGUUUAAGGGCAAGGCAUUGAGGAAUCUAGAGAAUCAGCACCAUUGGAUGGUCAAUCUUUCUUGUCAGCAUCAAGCAUUCAAUAGUUUGAUUAAGGAUUUCGUCAAGGAGCUUCCUUUUUUCAAGAACGUGACCGAGAAUUGUAUAAAGCUUGCGAAUUUCGUGAACAAUAAGUCCCAGAUUCGGAAUAGCUUCCACAAGUAUCAGUUGCAGGAGUAUGGGCAUGCUGGGUUGUUGAGGGUGCCCUUGCCCGGCUAUGAAAGCUCAGAUUUUGGACCUGUUUAUUCGUUGAUCGAGGAUAUUCUUAGCUCAGCUCGGGCACUUCAGCUAGUGUUGCUGGAUGAAUCGUAUAAGGUAGCUUCAGUGGAGGAGCCAUUUGCAAGGGAGAUUGAAGAGAUGAUGAGAAGCCCGCGUUUCUGGAAUGAGUUGGAGGCGAUGCAUUCGUUAGUUAAAUUGAUCAAGACGAUGGCACGGGAUAUCGAGACGGAGAAACCCCGAGUGGGGCAAUGCCUUCCAUUGUGGGAGGAGCUUAGAGUGAAAGUGAAGGAUUGGUGUUCUAAGUUUCACAUUGCCGAGGGACCGGUAGAGAAAUUGGUCGAAAGGAGGUUCGAGAAGAAUUAUCACCCGGCUUGGGCUGCUGCAUUUAUACUCGAUCCGCUCUAUUUGAUUCGAGACACGAGUGGGAAGUACUUGCCCCCGUUCAAAUACCUGACCCCCGAGCAAGAAAAGGACGUGGACAAGCUCAUAACACGGCUCGUAUCUCGUGACGAGGCUCAUAUUGCCUUGAUGGAGCUUAUGAAAUGGAGAACCGAAGGGCUCGAGCCGGUUUAUGCUCAAGCUGUUCAGUUGAAGCAGAGGGAUCCUAGCACGGGGAAGAUGAAAAUCGCGAACCCACAGAGUAGUAGGCUCGUUUGGGAAACGUACCUCACGGGGUUCAAGUCGUUAGGCAAAGUUGCUGUUAGGCUUAUCUUCCUUCACGCUACCUCGUGCGGGUUUAAAUGCAACUGGUCUUUCCCGAGAUGGGCGGGUGCCCAAUCCCAUUCGAGGGCGGGUGUGGACCGAGCCCAGAAGUUGAUAUUCAUAGCUGCUCACUCGAAGCUCGAAAAACGGGACUAUUCCAAUGAUGAAGACAAAGAUGCGGAGCUCUUUGCCCUGGCAAACGGUGAGGAUGAUGUGCUCAAUGAGGUUUUUGUCGAUACAUCCUCUCUGUGCUGUAGAGCUUCCUUGACUUUACGGUUACAUUAGCUUAAACGUUGGCGUUGAAAUGCACGUGUCAUCACGAUUCAAUCAACGAGACACCCGAAACUACGACAGUCGAGAUGAGGUAUUGGAUGCGUUUCUUGCAACUAGAGAUGAAGCAGCCAAGAAAGACGUUGUUGAAGCACCACGAAAUGCAUAGUUGGUGUAAAAACUCGGCAAACUAGGUUUGGCUAUCCCGGGAUUUAACCAAAUCUUUAUAGCUGGAAGAGCACUUCACAACUGCUAAUAUCCCAUUCCUAUUCUUUCUUGUAUAUGUGUCUUUGAGGCAGUGGCGUCCCACCACGGGAGCUAAGUCCACCGGAUGAUGCUUCCCAUGAUUGCGAAAAAGGGUCGAGAGGACCCAAAGUGAAACAACACUGUCGGUAUGAACCAACACAAAAGAUGCUCGAUAGCGAUUUGGCAACACAUAUUGACUAAUGUUUGCUCAUUCCUGCAGAUAGCUUUGAGAAGUGGAAAUCCAUCAUUACCAGAGGGAGGGAGGAGGCAUGGUGGUAGCAGUAGAAGUAAAAAAGAAGACUCCUUUACAACUUUUUUCAUGGUAAAAAAGAUGGGUAAAAGUGGUUGCUGCCAUUUUUCACCACUGCAAACAAUAAUGGUGGAAAUGUUUUUUUAUCUUAGUUUUGUAAAAGGAUGGUACAAUGUAGUGAAAAUGGGUAUUAUUUUCCUUCCAAGAAAGGAAAACCAGCUUGCAUGGUUUCUUGUA